AGAGUUUGAUCAUGGCUCAGAUUGAACGCUGGCGGCAGGCCUAACACAUGCAAGUCGAACGGUAACAGGAAGCAGCUUGCUGCUUCGCUGACGAGUGGCGGACGGGUGAGUAAUGUCUGGGAAACUGCCUGAUGGAGGGGAUAACUACUGGAAACGGUGGCUAAUACCGCAUAACGUCGCAAGACCAAAGAGGGGGACCUUCGGGCCUCUUGCCAUCAGAUGUGCCCAGAUGGGAUUAGCUGGUUGGUGAGGUAACGGCUCACCAAGGCGACGAUCCCUAGCUGGUCUGAGAGGAUGACCAGCCACACUGGAACUGAGACACGGUCCAGACUCCUACGGGAGGCAGCAGUGGGGAAUAUUGCACAAUGGGCGCAAGCCUGAUGCAGCCAUGCCGCGUGUAUGAAGAAGGCCUUCGGGUUGUAAAGUACUUUCAGCGGGGAGGAAGGUGUUGUGGUUAAUAACCGCAGCAAUUGACGUUACCCGCAGAAGAAGCACCGGCUAACUCCGUGCCAGCAGCCGCGGUAAUACGGAGGGUGCAAGCGUUAAUCGGAAUUACUGGGCGUAAAGCGCACGCAGGCGGUCUGUCAAGUCGGAUGUGAAAUCCCCGGGCUCAACCUGGGAACUGCAUUCGAAACUGGCAGGCUUGAGUCUUGUAGAGGGGGGUAGAAUUCCAGGUGUAGCGGUGAAAUGCGUAGAGAUCUGGAGGAAUACCGGUGGCGAAGGCGGCCCCCUGGACAAAGACUGACGCUCAGGUGCGAAAGCGUGGGGAGCAAACAGGAUUAGAUACCCUGGUAGUCCACGCCGUAAACGAUGUCUACUUGGAGGUUGUGCCCUUGAGGCGUGGCUUCCGGAGCUAACGCGUUAAGUAGACCGCCUGGGGAGUACGGCCGCAAGGUUAAAACUCAAAUGAAUUGACGGGGGCCCGCACAAGCGGUGGAGCAUGUGGUUUAAUUCGAUGCAACGCGAAGAACCUUACCUGGUCUUGACAUCCACGGAAGUUUUCAGAGAUGAGAAUGUGCCUUCGGGAACCGUGAGACAGGUGCUGCAUGGCUGUCGUCAGCUCGUGUUGUGAAAUGUUGGGUUAAGUCCCGCAACGAGCGCAACCCUUAUCCUUUGUUGCCAGCGGUCCGGCCGGGAACUCAAAGGAGACUGCCAGUGAUAAACUGGAGGAAGGUGGGGAUGACGUCAAGUCAUCAUGGCCCUUACGACCAGGGCUACACACGUGCUACAAUGGCGCAUACAAAGAGAAGCGACCUCGCGAGAGCAAGCGGACCUCAUAAAGUGCGUCGUAGUCCGGAUUGGAGUCUGCAACUCGACUCCAUGAAGUCGGAAUCGCUAGUAAUCGUGGAUCAGAAUGCCACGGUGAAUACGUUCCCGGGCCUUGUACACACCGCCCGUCACACCAUGGGAGUGGGUUGCAAAAGAAGUAGGUAGCUUAACCUUCGGGAGGGCGCUUACCACUUUGUGAUUCAUGACUGGGGUGAAGUCGUAACAAGGUAACCGUAGGGGAACCUGCGGUUGGAUCACCU
rnacentral:rRNA from 1 species